CCCACUCUCCCACCUUUCUACUUUCCCCAAAUCCUUUGCCUCCAAUCCUCCCUCCUUUCCUUCCUCCGGAUCCCUCCUGUCUUUCCAUUUACCCUCCUUCACUCUACAAACAUCAAAGAGCCUUGCCCAAAGAUUCAGAAACUCAACCUAAAUGGCAUAUCUAAAGUUGCUCAAUGCCCUCUUCCCCUUCUGCAGGUAAUAAAGCUGUCUAAAACCGCCGUGUUGCUUUCUAGGGCAUCUCCUCUGUCCGUUGAGUUUAACAAUGAAUUGAUCCUACACAUUCAUCACGUUCGUCCUUGACACAACCAUUGUGGCUCUUUCCUCCUCUGGGAAUCGUGACGACGCUUUCAAUCCUUGCUUCAAUGAAAUUAUUUCCAAGGUUGUUGAAACAUAUGCACCGGGUGCGAUAGUACUCCAGUGUGGGGCAGAUUCACUUGCUGGGGAUCAACUAGGCUGUUUCAAUCUCUCCAUUGAUGGUGCUAGUCUCCUUGGCAUGCUGAAUGUGUUAGGUUUGUGAAGAAAUUCAAUUUGCCCUCACUAGUUACUGGAGGUGAGGGAUACACAAAAGAGAAUGUUGCACGAUGUUGGACUGUUGAAACAGGAGUUUUUUAGAUACAGAACUUCCAAAUGGGUUUGCAAUUGUCACAACAUCAGCACGAUGCCAGCUUUUUCCAGGAACAGCACGGGAGGACAUCAUUGUUACUCGAGUUCUACGGGACGGAAUCUAAGUGUCCUUAUCAGCACUUAGUAGAGUUCAAGUUAACCGACAAUAUGUUUUUCCCUCAUGCUAGAACUGAUGAAUCUCUUAGACUACAAUUAUUUAUUGCUUCUUCGCAGGAUGGGGCACAGAUGUGAUUUCAUUCCUUGAUACCUCACUCUAUCACUAAUUGGUUUGAUAUGGAGCGUGAAUUUCUGCAUGCAUUUUGUCCCUUAUGGAAAACUCAAUUUUUGCAGGAACAAUUUCUUAAUUUUGUACAACAAGAUGACGAGACAUUUCGGGCUUGCUAGGAGCGAUUUAAGGAUCUGCUAAAUACUUGCCCACAUCACGGGUUUGACUCAUGGAGGUUAGUUGAUUAUUUUUAUACUACUCUCACACCUGAUUGCAAGUAUUUUGUUCAGACCAUGUGCAAUGGAGAACUCUUCAGCAAGGAUUCAGAUCAGGUAUUAUCGUUCUUCGAUUACCUAGCUAACAAUGUCCCACAGUGGAACACACGAUACACUCAAGCACUCAUGACUGCACACCCUAUCAGCACAAUCGGUGGUGGAGAUAUAUAUGAACCACCAAACUAUCCAGAUAUUCCUCCGCCUCAACACCAGUCACAACAGAUCCCUCAGAGUUAUACGCCGUCAGGACUUCUCGAGGAUAGUAUAACACAGAUGGCGAACAUGCUCCAACAGUUCAUGCAAACUCAAGUCAAUCAUAACAAUGAAUUACACCAUUAAUGCGAUGAGCACACAGUUGGACAUAUUAAAAUAAGAGGAAUCACUCGUGGAACCUUAGCCUAGUUCUUAAUAGUACCAACAACAACAACAAAUGAACGAUGUUCUCUUUGAGACAGCAGAGACUGCCACUAUUUCGAGAAGCGAGAAAAAAUUUCCCCAACCUGAGAUGCUCAUCGUCGAACAACAAGUUGUCCCAGCACCAAAAGUUACGGUUGAAAUAGAUGAAUUCAAGGAAAAAUCAAAGGAAACGGGCCUAGAAGCGGAGCAGUUUGUUAAUAAGGAGAUUGAUACCAAUACAGAGUACCAACCUGUGGUACCUCAUUCUCAGAGUCCAGAAACCAUGGAACCGUCACUGCUACCUAAAUCAAAUGUUAAGGAGCCUAAUGUGGAAGUAGAUCUUUGCAGUGGUACGAUGAUCUGUGCGCUCGAUAAAGAGGAUGACCAGUUUGGUGAGAAUAUAAUUUUCAAGGAACUAGGUAAAACUUUUUAUGUUAAUGCUUUUGAAGAACUACAGGUAAUUGUUCCAAUAAUUUUCCAUCACAUGUUCGUUCGUAAAGAAGUAAAUUUCUUGGACACGAUGUUGAAUAAAGACCCUUCCUUGUCAACACACGAGGGUCGAUCUGCACACAUAUUGUUUGGUAUUUUACCGCGUAUUGAUUUAUUCAAAGCUUAUUUUCGUGCAGGUAUGAAAACUGAUCUAUUGUGACGACUCAAAUUUAGAGGUCUGCCGAUGCAAUUUAUAUACCUGUGACCACUAGACGAAAUUCCUCCUAAGCCUCCGCCUUACAAUUGUGAUAUUUUUCUUUUUCUUUUUUUUUUUUUCAUUUAUUUUAGCCUAUUUUAUUUUUAGUUAGUUUUCAGGUUCAUUUUCUCGUAGUUCAGUUUUUCUUUUCUAUUACCCUGUCACUCAGGUGCGCUUUACUUUUCCCGUGCACAGUCUUUUCUAUUUUCCCUAUGCUUUCACAUUGAGAAUAAUGUUCCACUUUAGUUGGGGGGGUGAGCAUUCACAUGUAACACUGUGCACGUACACCUACCGGGUUUUAUAUGAGUUUUAUAUUAUAAAAAAAAAAUCAAAAACAAAAAGAAAUCAAAAAGAAAGAGAGAAAGAAAGAAAGAGAACUGAGGAAUUACAUUGUAUUAUGUCAUGUUUAACACUGCGUAUACUUUUCACAUACUCACGUAUAACUUAAGAAUAACACACUAGAGUCAAUCAUGCGUAGUUUCUC